AUCUCUUCAUUUUCUUGCCAGAAAAAAAAAAAGAAACCCCCCAAAAAAACCAGACUUUGCAAUGAUGCCUCUGCUAACUCCGGCCGCAAACGGCGGCGGCGCGGUGCUCUCCUCCUCCCACCACUGCUCCCUCAAAUUCGUCCACCCCGUCGCCCCCCUCUUCUCCAAACGCCGCCCCACUUUCUCAGCCUCCCGCGCCAUCAAACCCCUCAUGCUCGCCAACGCCGCCGAGUCCUCCUCCGGCGCCUCCGCCAAGCCCUCCACCGCCUCCACCUCCGACCCCUUCGACGACCAAGGCUCCGCCCCGACUCCCAUUUCGCUCGUGGGCCAGGAAAAUCUCCCCCUCGAAGGCGUGAUUCAGUUCGAGAAGCCGGAUUCCUCUUCUCGUCUCGCUAAAUGGGGUCUCGUGGCUUUGUUAGCUGGCGGCGAUGUUGCAAUGCUGUUGUUGUUUGCGGCAAUUGGGAGGUCUAGCCAUGGAUUGCCUGUUUUCGAUUUUGAAACCUUCAAAACAGCCGACCCUUUCAUUGCAGGGUGGUUUUUGAGCGCAUACUUUCUUGGGGGAUUCAGCAAGGAAGGCAGAGGGAAGAAUGGUUUACAGAGUGCUGUUGUUGCAGCUGCGAAAUCCUGGUCUUUGGGGAUUCCGUUGGGAAUAAUCAUAAGAGCACUCUCCAUUGGCCAUCCGCCACCAACGAACUUCAUGCUGGUUACCAUGGGAAGCACAGCCGUUUUACUUAUUGGAUGGCGAGCAUUAUUCUUCACCAUAUUCCCCUCCGACAAGGACAAGAAGAACGACGUAUACAAGCGUGGCAGCCCUUUUGAACUCUUUGAGUUGCUUACGUCGUUGGUGAGAAGAUGGUGAUGAGCAGAGCAAUUGUUUAGAGUCUAACUGUGAUCAUAUUUUCUCCUUGGAGAAAAGAGGACCUUGCUUAUUUAGGAUGACGACGGAAGCCUGCAGCCGCACUACCUGUGGGUGGGAUCUCACGGGUGUGAUCGUGUGAGAUCCCGACUCACACAAUAGAACGUGUAGUCAUGUUCGAGUUUGUGUCUCGAUGGCAAGUGAUGCUUCAUAAUUUACAUUGUGCAUACUCAUAUGAUAUUUUUAUGAGAAUGAUAACAAUUUUCACUCUAGUUAUGUUAUUAUUAGGCAAAGAGAAGAAAUCAAUUUAUUA